rnacentral:lncRNA from 1 species
CUCAUUUUACAGAUCGGAACACAAGUGGGGAAAUCUUGACGUAUGCUACAACAUGGAUGAACCCGAAGACAUUAUGCUAAGUGAAAUAAGGCAGACACAAAAAGACAAAUGCUGCAUGAUUCCACGUAAAUGAGAAAAAAAAAAUCAGAACUUCAAAUCUCAGUUUGAGAGAAGCUUUAUCUGUAAAUACUCCAGGAAGAGGAAACAAUGAGCUUAAAUUCAGCCAUACCUAUAAAGGACCAUAGAAGUUCAUGAAGUGAUGAUGAGCAUCUUUCGAAGAUUGAAUUGUAUAUGUGAAUGUGCUGUGAAAAGCUAGAAAUAUACAAGGCUGGUUGAGACCAACAGCUCAUCAGCUGGGCCAGUGUAGAUGUCCGACAAGUGACCUUUUGAUGUCAAGAGGCUAAAAACUCCAUCCUCAGAUCAUGCUAAGACCGCCAUUUUGUGAACAUGCGUCCUGUGAAUGGGCACAGUGUCUGACUACGCUUGAGCCGAUCAUCAAUUACCUCACCUCUCCUCACCUACAAUCACCUCCCUCCACAAUUCAGACCACCUUGCCCUCUAUCCCAUGAAUAUCCCUGGGUCCCUAUUUUUGGGGAAGAGAAUUUGAGGCCCAUACUCUCACUUCUUUACAUGGCUGUCUUGUAAUUAAACCCUUUCUCUACUGCAAUCUCGUCGUCUCGGUAUUUGGCUUUCUGGGCGGUGGACAAAAACGAAC